GGUUUAUGAUGACACAGGACCUUGUCUGAACAUGCUGAUUUCAAAGUUGGAGCUUGAAAUGACACUGAAAUC
ensembl:snoRNA SNORD107 small nucleolar RNA, C/D box 107